rnacentral:tRNA from 1 species
CGGGGCGUGGCGCAGCCCGGUAGCGCACCGGUAUGGGGUACCGGAGGUCGGAGGUUCAAAUCCUCUCGCCCCGACCG